GACGAACGCUGGCGGCGUGCUUAAUACAUGCCAGUCGAACGGAAAGGCCCUGCUCUUGUGGGUUGCUCGAUUGCCGAACGGGUGAGUAACACGUGAGUAACCUGUCCUUGACUUUGGGAUAACUUCAGGAAACUGGGGCUAAUACCGGAUAGGAUCUCCUGCUGCACGGUGUGGGUUGGAAAGUUUCGGCUGUUGGGGCUGGACUCGCAGCUUAUCCGCUUGUUUGUGAGGUAGGUGCUGUCCAAGGCUUUGACGGGUAGCCGGCAUUGGAGGUGGACCGGGGACAAGGGUACUACGAGACGGAGCAGAAUGCUACCGGACGCAGCGGUGGGGAAUAUUGCGGAGUGGGCGGGAGCGUGAUGCAGCAACGCCGCGUGCGGGAUAACGGGCUACGAGUUGUAAACCAAUUUCGACUGUAACGAGGCGUGAGUGACGGUAAUGGGUAAGGAAGCAACGGCUAACUACGUG
rnacentral:rRNA from 1 species